UACAGAGGUCUCAAGCGUUGUUCGGAUUCAUUGGGCGUAAAGGGUGCGUAGGUGGCGCUGUAAGUCGGGUGUGAAAUUUCGGAGCUUAACUCCGAAACUGCAUUCGAUACUGCGGUGCUUUGAGGACUGGAGAGGAGACUGGAAUUCCUGGUGUAGCGGUGAAAUGCGUAGAUAUCAGGAGGAACACCUGUGGUGUAGACAGCUUACUGGACCAUUACUGACACUGAGACACGAAAAGCGUGGGGUAGCAAAACAGGG
rnacentral:rRNA from 1 species